GCAUUUUGGAUUAGACUAAAGUCACUUACAGUACAGGGCAGCACUUUAUUUAGCAUUCUUUUGAAUGAGACAUUCCAUACAUCAAUGUGACACAAGUUCUUGAUAGAUAUGACUCAAGGUGCAAAGGGUAAUACACGUGUCCCUCUCAGUAUUGGACUUCAUCAGGAACAAUAUGACAAUCCAUUGGAUGACAACCUGGCUGUAGCCAAUGAGGCGGCAGAGUCCCUGAUGACGUGGGGCUCUGCGUUGAUGAAUCUGGCAGAGGCUGUGGCACAAGCAGAGGAUAUGUCCUCCCGGUUUUGACCACUGCCUUACUCUGGACUACUUUCCCGCCUGCCUGAUCAUCCUGCCUGCCAAGACCUUGAAUCUGCC
ensembl:lncRNA